CGUGAAGAAGGCGGAGGACGGACCUGCCCUCUGUUGCACAACUGUGCAAUAGUAUGUGUGCAGUGCCUCUGUAUGAGGGCUGAUUGAUGCCCAGAAGGACGCUGGAAAUGCCCUGUAUGAGAGUGGAAUUUUCUUCAGACGUAACAGAAGCCGCGUCGCCAUGGGAACAAGUACCCAGAGUUCCAGAGAGAAGGCUGACGUCACGCUCCGCUUUGUGCCUUGCACUUUUAUUCUAGUAGCCAAAGCAGACCACAGCAGUAACGAUGGCAGACUACCGUGUUGGGCUUGUGCUGCUGAGUCUACUGCAAUGGUUGAAUUCCUCCAGUAAAAUGUGCAUGUGUUGCACCAUUACUGCAGUCAGGUGUUCAGCCCACGUCUACAUCAGACCUACUUCUCCUGGGUGUGGUCAUGUGGGAUGUUCUUCUGCAAAGUUACAGCUACCUGCCUGGCAUGCACACUGCAGCGUUUUCAGUCCUUCCAGUGUUUAUUUUCACCCAACAAGGUAAAGGAAAUACUUUGGUGUUUUUGGGUGAAGCGUUUGUCUGCUUUGUCUGUGGCUCAGCUUUUUCCCAUGGUCCAUCAGACUCCUGAGCUCAAAACACCUGAAACCUGAACACAAAGGGUCGCUGUUAAAGGGAACUUCAGUUUUUUUCAACCUGGGGUCUGUUUCCAUUUGUCUUUUCAUACAUGUGAGUGAUGAAGAAAUUAAUUUUCAACAUAGCUCCAGUAUUUAGCCAGUCAGGCAGCUUAGCAGCUCAGCUAGCAGCUUGGCUAGUGAAAAGUAUGGGGUAACUUGCCCCCCCCCCGCGUCAAAGUCCGCCCGAAAUCGUGCGAUAGCUCGCGCCAAAACCAGUGUUUUGGCCUGAGCUAUCCCGCGAUUUCGUGAGCAAGAUUUGCUUUCUAGCGUCCUGAGCUUUGGAUACAGACCACAACAAAGAGCGAUCGCCAGGUAAUGUGGAGGUUUUCAUUCACUUCUCAUCUCUAGUAUGUUGUGGGACACUCAUUGAGACUAUCUGAGCCGGUCAGUGUGGGGCAAAAGCACGUUAGGGCGGACUUUGACGCGGGGGGGCAAGUUGCCCCAUACUUUUCGCUAGCUGAGCUGCUAAGCUGCCUGCCUGGCUAAAUACUGGAGCUAUGUUGAAAAUUCAUUUCUCCAUCACUCACAUGUAUGAAAAGACAUAUGAAAACAGACCCCAGGCUGAAAAAAACCGAAGUUCCCCUUUAAUGGUUCAAAUGCUGCUUCUGUGCAGUCUCCUGACCAUAUUUAUUCUGUUUUAUUGGUUUUUAUUUCAUUUCCUUCCCACACUGUAUACAUCAAUAUAGUCUUCUUUUAUAAGUACGUUUGAUUUCAUUGUUUAUUGUUGUCAUUUCAUGACUCAUAGCUUGGUAUCAAUGUACCGUCCAGUGGCAGCUUUCUGUGUUUUCAUCAUGCCCCGUGUGUGAUGCCAUGUUUUGUUUUGUUUGUUUUUUUUAACUUAUUUUGAACUGGUUUGUGUAAUUAUUUGUUUUUAUGUGAACAUGUAUUUUAUUGUUCUUUUGUAAACUUUUGUUAUUUUAUGAUGUUAUAUAUUUUGACUUUUAUAUUUAAAGGCCCAUCUAGGGACAAGAGUUGGAAACUAGCAUUUGCUAUAAACUGCAGCACAUCAGAUUCAUGCUAAGUAAUGGAACUAUGUUAAACUGCAUCGUCCCUAUCAAAUAAAUAAAUUCAAUUCAACAAUAAAACUAUUCUAUUCUACUCGUGCUCCUCUGGCCAACAACAUCAGGUUGGGAGACAUCCCUCCUCUCUGCUACUGCAUGUCAGGUAUUUUUGUCAUCAUCAUUAAAGCAUGCUGGCAGAAA